UACGUAGGGGGCAAGCGUUGUCCGGAAUCAUUGGGCGUAAAGCGCGCGUAGGCGGCCCGGUAAGUCCGUUGUGAAAGUCAAAGGCUCAACCUUUGAACGCCGAUGGAUACUGCCGGGCUAGAGUCCGGAAGAGGCGAGUGGAAUUCCUGGUGUAGCGGUGGAAUGCGCAGAUAUCAGGUGGAACACCAAUAGCGAAGGCAGCUCGCUGGGACGGUACUGACGCUGAGGCGCGAAAGCGUGGGGAGCGAACAGG
rnacentral:rRNA from 1 species